GAGACACCUCUAUGGAACAGGACUUACUUCAGUGGGGUGUUGGUGCUUACUGAGUCUUUCCCUUGAGUGUGUCACU
rnacentral:pre_miRNA from 1 species